CCUACGGGAGACAGCAGUGGGGGAUAUUGCACAAUGGGGGGAACCCUGACGCAGCGACGCCGCGUGAGGGAUGAAGGUCUUCGGAUCGUAAACCUCUGUCAGCAGGGAAGAACGGUCACUGUGCUAAUCAGCAGUGAAUUGACGGUACCUGCAAAGGAAGCACCGGCUAACUCCGUGCCAGCAGCCGCGGUAAUACGGAGGGUGCGAGCGUUAAUCGGAAUUACUGGGCGUAAAGCGCUCGUAGGCGGUAUGUCAAGUCAAGGGUGAAAUCCCCGCGCUCAACGUGGGAACUGCCUUUGAAACUGGCAAACUGGAGUGUGUGAGAGGAUAGUGGAAUUCCAGGUGUAGGAGUGAAAUCCGUAGAUAUCUGGAGGAACAUCAGUGGCGAAGGCGGGUUCCUGGGCAUUAACUGACGCUGAGGCACGAAGGCCAGGGGAGCGAAAGGGAUUAGAUACCCUUGUAGUC
rnacentral:rRNA from 1 species